CCUACGGGAGGCAGCAGUGAGGAAUAUUGGACAAUGGACGAGAGUCUGAACCAGCCAAGUAGCGUGAAGGAUGACUGCCCUAUGGGUUGUAAACAUCUUUUAUAUGGGAGUAAACCGUUCCACGAGUGGGAUUUUGUAUGUACCAUAUGAAUAAGGAUCGGCUAACUCCGUGCCAGCAGCCGCGGUAAUACGGAGGAUACGAGCGUUAUCCGGAUUUAUUGGGUUUAAAGGGAGCGUAGGUGGAUUGUUAAGUCAGUUGUGAAAGUUUGCGGCUCAACCGUAAAAUUGCAGUUGAAACUGGCAGGCUUGAGUACAGUAGAGGUGGGCGGAAUUCGUGGUGUAGCGGUGAAAUGCUUAGAUAUCACGAAGAACUCCGAUUGCGAAGGCAGUUCACUGGACUGAAACUGACACUGAGGCUCGAAAGUGUGGGUAUCAAACAGGAUUAGAUACCCCAGUAGUC
rnacentral:rRNA from 1 species